AAGGUACUCCCUCCGUCCCAAAAUUCUUGUCUUAUAUUUAUCUAAAUGUGGAUAUAUCUAGUUACGUUUUAGUGUUAGAUACAUCCGUAUCUAGACAAAUCUAAGACAAGAAUUUUGGGACGGAGGGAGUAUAUA
rfam:Triticum urartu cultivar G1812 contig827666, whole genome shotgun sequence.